GCAGUUCUGGCGUCGCUCCAGAAGCAGCCACCAACGGAGCAAGCAGUGCUGACAGCCAGGGGGGAUCUUCCCGACCCACGUCUCCUGUGUCUCCUGCGUUGGCAGGCGGAUUCUUUACCACAGGCCCAUAGUGGGCAACGUUUUGUCAGAACUCUCCACAUGACCCGUGCAUCUUGGGUGGCCCUACAGGGCAUGGCUCACAAUUUCACUGAGUUGGACGAGGCUGUGAUCCAUGGCGUGCUGCAGUCCAUGGGGCUGCAAAGAGUCGGACGUGACUGAGCGACUGAACAACAACGUGGCCACACUUUAGUUUUCAUGAGCUAUUUUUAAAUGGCCCAGCCAGGAG
ensembl:lncRNA